rnacentral:rRNA from 1 species
CCUGCAUUUGGCAGAGGAUUGACAGAUUGAGAGCUCUUUCUUGAUUUGGUGGAUGGUGGUGCAUGGCCGUUCUUAGUUGGUGGAGCGAUUUGUCUGGUUAAUUCCGAUAACGAACGAGACACUAGCCUAUUAAAUAGGUGCGUGGUUCUCUGCACCUUGCACCCUUCUUAGAGGGACAAGCGGCUCCUGGCCGCACGAAACAGAGCAAUAACAGGUCUGUGAUGCCCUUAGAUGUCCGGG